GUUUGAUCCUGGCUCAGAUUGAACGCUGGCGGAAUGCUUUACACAUGCAAGUCGAACGGUAGAGGGGGCAACCCCUUGAGAGUGGCGAACGGGUGAGUAAUAUAUCGGAACGUGCCCAGUCGUGGGGGAUAACGUAGUGAAAAUUACGCUAAUACCGCAUACGAUCUAUGGAUGAAAGCGGGGGAUCGCAAGACCUCGCGCGAUUGGAGCGGCCGAUAUCAGAUUAGGUAGUUGGUGAGGUAAAGGCUCACCAAGCCGACGAUCUGUAGCUGGUCUGAGAGGACGACCAGCCACACUGGAACUGAGACACGGUCCAGACUCCUACGGGAGGCAGCAGUGGGGAAUUUUGGACAAUGGACGCAAGUCUGAUCCAGCCAUUCCGCGUGCAGGACGAAGGCCUUCGGGUUGUAAACUGCUUUUGUACAGAACGAAAAGGUCUCUAUUAAUACUAGGGGCUCAUGACGGUACUGUAAGAAUAAGCACCGGCUAACUACGUGCCAGCAGCCGCGGUAAUACGUAGGGUGCAAGCGUUAAUCGGAAUUACUGGGCGUAAAGCGUGCGCAGGCGGUUAUAUAAGACAGAUGUGAAAUCCCCGGGCUCAACCUGGGAACUGCAUUUGUGACUGUAUAGCUGGAGUGCGGCAGAGAGGGGAUGGAAUUCCGCGUGUAGCAGUGAAAUGCGUAGAUAUGCGGAGGAACACCGAUGGCGAAGGCAAUCCCCUGGGCCUGCACUGACGCUCAUGCACGAAAGCGUGGGGAGCAAACAGGAUUAGAUACCCUGGUAGUCCACGCCCUAAACGAUGUCAACUGGUUGUUGGGUCUUCACUGACUCAGUAACGAAGCUAACGGCGUGAAGUUGACCGCCUGGGGAGUACGGCCGCAAGGUUGAAACUCAAAGGAAUGACGGGGA
rnacentral:rRNA from 1 species